rnacentral:rRNA from 1 species
GCAAGUCGCACGGAUCUUUCGGGAUUAGUGGCGGACGGGUGAGUAACGCGUAGGGAUCUAUCCAUGGGUGGGGGACAACUCCGGGAAACUGGAGCUAAUACCGCAUGAUACCUGAGGGUCAAAGGCGUAAGUCGCCUGUGGAGGAACCUGCGUUCGAUUAGCUAGUUGGUGGGGUAAAGGCCUACCAAGGCGAUGAUCGAUAGCUGGUUUGAGAGGAUGAUCAGCCACACUGGGACUGAGACACGGCCCAGACUCCUACGGGAGGCAGCAGUGGGGAAUAUUGGACAAUGGGCGAAAGCCUGAUUCCAGCAAUGCCGCGUGUGUGAAGAAGGUUCUUCGGAUUGUAAAGCACUUUUCG